AGAGAGAAUAAAAUAUUUCUAAAGAUCAUAUAUCAUCUAUAUUAUAUACACAUAUGUUGAGCUCUUGUUGUGUGUCGGGUGUAAGCUUCUACUUCACUUGAACGUGCAAUUUCGGUGAAGUUACAGCGGAAAGAUAGGCUGGGCUGUUGUAUCCCAUAGGCGACACGAUCGGAACCUUUUUGCACCUCAUUAUAGAAGGGAUCGUGAAAUUCGUCUUAAGAAAGCGACCUAGUCCGCGCCUCACCU
rnacentral:lncRNA from 1 species